rnacentral:rRNA from 1 species
CMCUKGGCYAAKUYCGAAYYKWUKAAMGCCCAGYUUGCUGGGUGGAUUAGUGGCGAACGGGUGAKUWWCACGUGAGUAACCUGCCCUUAACUCUGGGAUAAGCCUGGGAAACUGGGUCUAAUACCGGAUAGGAGCGCCUACCGCAUGGUGGGUGUUGGAAAGAUUUAUCGGUUUUGGAUGGACUCGCGGCCUAUCAGCUUGUUGGUGAGGUAAUGGCUCACCAAGGCGACGACGGGUAGCCGGCCUGAGAGGGUGACCGGCCACACUGGGACUGAGACACGGCCCAGACUCCUACGGGAGGCAGCAGUGGGGAAUAUUGCACAAUGGKCGAAAGCCUGAUGCAGCGACGCCGCGUGAGGGAUGACGGCCUUCGGGUUGUAAACCUCUUUCAGUAKGGAAGAAGCGAAAGUGACGGUACCUGCAGAAGAAGCACCGGCUAACUACGUGCCAGCAGCCGCGGUAAUACGUAGGGUGCGAGCGUUAUCCGGAAUUAUUGKGCGUAAAGAGCUCGUAGGCGGUUUGUCGCGUCUGUCGUGAAWGUCCGGGGCUUAWCCCCGGAUCUGCGGUGGGUACGGGCAGACUAGAGUGCAKUAGGGGAGACUGGAAUUCCUGGUGUAKCGGUGGAAUGCGCAKAUAUCAGGAGGAACACCGAUGGCKAAGGCAGGUCUCUGGGCUGUAACUGACGCUGAGGAGCGAAAGCAUGGGGAGCGAACAGGAUUAGAUACCCUGGUAGUCCAUGCCGUAAACGUUGGKCACUAGGUGUGGKGACCAUUCCACGGUUUCCGCGCCGCAGCUAACGCAUUAAKUGCCCCGCCUGGKGAGUACGGCCGCAGGCUAAAACUCAAGGAAUUGACGGGGGCCCGYACAAKCGGCGGAGCAUGCGUAUUAAUUCGAUGMAAYGCGAASAACCUUUACCMAGGCUUGACAUGUUYUCGAUCGCCGUAGAGAUACGGUUUCCCCUUUGGGGCGGKUUCACAGGUGGUGSCWUGGUUGUCGKUCA